rnacentral:pre_miRNA from 1 species
UAGUUUUGUCCAAAGUCAAAUUUAUCUAACUCUAACCAAAUUUAUACAAAAAAUCUAUUAAUAUCUACAAUACCAAAUAUAUACACUAUCAAGACAUUUCAUGGUGGAUUUAAUCAAACUAAUUUGAUGUUGUAGAUAUUGAGGAACUUUUCUAUAAACUUGGUCAAAAUUAGAUAAGUUUGACUUAGGACAAAACUAA